rnacentral:ncRNA from 1 species
ACUGUGGAGUAUACGAGAACUUGUGAGUAGUAUAUUUAAUAAUAAAUUACGAAAGCAUAUACGUUGAAGCAGUAA